rnacentral:rRNA from 1 species
CCUACGGGUGGCAGCAGUGAGGAAUAUUGGUCAAUGGACGAGAGUCUGAACCAGCCAAGUAGCGUGAAGGAUGACUGCCCUAUGGGUUGUAAACUUCUUUUAUAUGGGAAUAAAACGUUCCACGUGUGGGAUUUUGUCUGUACCAUAUGAAUAAGGAUCGGCUAACUCCGUGCCAGCAGCCGCGGUAAUACGGAGGAUCCGAGCGUUAUCCGGAUUUAUUGGGUUUAAAGGGAGCGUAGGUGGAUUGUUAAGUCAGUUGUGAAAGUUUGCGGCUCAACCGUAAAAUUGCAGUAGAAACUGGCAGUCUUGAGUACAGUAGAGGUGGGCGGAAUUCGUGGUGUAGCGGUGAAAUGCUUAGAUAUCACGAAGAACUCCGAUUGCGAAGGCAGUUCACUGGACUGCAACUGACACUGAGGCUCGAAAGUGUGGGUAUCAAACAGGAUUAGAUACCCGUGUAGUC